UCGUAGCGUCUGUCGUGGAUCGGGGAGAACCAGCCGUGAGGGUUUUGAGCUUUUCUUUGAGGACUUCUAUCGAAUGUCUGGCGUUCGCAAAUUCCAUUCACAGGAUGUUGAUCUGAUCUCUUUUUCCUCUUUUCUAGAUUAUCAUUUUCUCGUUUGCAUUUGGUUUAGGUACUUCUCCAAAAAUGAAACGUUCUUGAAUACAUGUAAGACGUUUGUGUUCGAGGUGAUUGUGAAGAUCUAAUCAAGAAACCUAUAUGUUUUGAGGAUGCUUUUGAAUGGUCUAAAGAGCUUUUGAUUGAUCAUCAAAUGUUGCAAACCAGUGCCGAAAGCUCAAUUUGACAUAGUUCGAGUGAAAAGGGUUUUUCGCAUACUCUUCCUCUGAUUUCGACACUGAGAACAUGAGUUCACAAGAUCCUUGUUUCAAGAUCAUAGCACGAUGGUGACUAGAGUAGAUGGAAACCUUUGCUUCACGAAAGUGUUCUUGCCAGAAGAAUCAAGAUGUGCUACAAUGGUGAAUCCAUCACACGAUCCUGCUGCAUCUGUGCUCCUUAUAUGGACGAUGUUCUUCCAGGAAGAACCAGUUCAAGGUAGUGAAGCUGGCCAUGACAAACACUGUUCAGAUCAUGAGGGAGACCAUCUGCUGCAUUUUGUAACUUGUGAAUGUAUUCUCAGCUGAUGAUAUUUGCAGACGGCAAUCUCCUCUGGGAAUAGCUUACAAUUCCUUGUAUGCUUUAACAUACUGUAAAAAGGAAAAUAAAAUGCAAUCCACAUCUACUGAAAUGAAGAAGUGAUUAAACUACAUAAGCCAUUGAUCCACAUCUACUAUAAUAUGUGAGCCCAUAUCAUCUCAUUCACUUGUGCUUCCGUUAUCA